rnacentral:rRNA from 1 species
AUUGAACGCUGGCGGCAGGCCUAACACAUGCAAGUCGAACGAGUGGCGGACGGGUGAGUAAUGUCUGGGAAACUGCCCGAUGGAGGGGGAUAACUACUGGAAACGGUAGCUAAUACCGCAUACCAUCGGAUGUGCCCAGAUGGGAGUAGCUAGUAGGUGGGGUAACGGCUCACCUAGGCGAAGAUCCCUAGCCGGUCUGAGAGGAUGACCAGCCAAACUGGAACUGAGACACGGUCCAGACUCCUACGGGGGGGCGCAGUGGGGAAUAUUGCACAAUGGGCGCAAGCCUGAUGCGGCCAUGCCGGGUGUAUGAAGAAGGCCUUCGGGUUGUAAAGUACUUUCAGCGAGGAGGCGUUAAUCGCAGAAGAAGCACCGGCUAACUCCGUGCCAGCAGCCGCGGUAAUUC